rnacentral:rRNA from 1 species
AAUUUUGGACAAUGGGGGCAACCCUGAUCCAGCCAUCCCGCGUUUUCGAUGAAGGCCUUCGGGUUGUAAAGCACUUUUGUCAGUGAAGAAAAGCCGCGGGUUAAUACCCUGCGGUGCUGACUGUACCUGCAGAUUAGGCACCGGCUAACUACGUGCCAGCAGCCGCGGUAAUACGUAGGUUGCAAGCGUUAAUCGGAAUUACUGGGCGUAAAGCGUGCGCAGGCGGUUCGGCAAGAAGGAUGUGAAAUCCCGGGGCUUAACCUCGGAACUGCAUUCUUAACUGCCGGGCUAGAGUAUGUCAGAGGGGGAUAGAAUUCCGCGUGUAGCAGUGAAAUGCGUAGAGAUGCGGAGGAAUACCGAUGGCGAAGGCAGCCCCCUGGGAUAAUACUGACGCUCAUGCACGAAAGCGUGGGGAGCAAAC